AUAAAUGAAAGCCCAAAGCCCAAACAACACAAAUAGGGCCGGCCAUAUUAUGUGGGGAAGGAGAGAUAUUUGGUCAAGUGUUGACUAGGUUUUCUUUUGUCUAUAUAAGGAACUUUAUAGUGAUAAAGUUCAUUAGGGUUUUUUGAAGUGUUUAAACAACAAAGAGGCAAAAGAAAAAGCUCUCUAACACAUCAAAGGGCCGGCCACCAUUGGGGUGUUUUAGCUAACAAUCU
rnacentral:lncRNA from 1 species